rnacentral:lncRNA from 1 species
UCUUCUUCUCUUCUUCUUCUUCUCCUCAAACUAACGUUGGCUGCAAAGUUUCUUUUUAAUGGUGCCUUAAAUUACUUAGGUUUGACUCAUGCUAAAAUAGUGAGGUGGCAAGCAUGCAUGGGGGUUUAGGUGUCAACUUUAGAAUAAAUACAAGUAACUCAUCCUUGUUAAUGACACAUGUCCUCCAUUUUAUUUUAUUUUAUUUUUAUUUACUCAAUUCUGAAUAUUCUAUAAAUCAUAUCAAAAUUUUAUUAUUUACUCUUAGG